rnacentral:rRNA from 1 species
UAGGGAAUCUUCGGCAAUGGGGGGAACCCUGACCGAGCAACGCCGCGUGAGUGAAGAAGGUUUUCGGAUCGUAAAGCUCUGUUGUUAAGGAAGAACGAGUGUGAGAAUGGAAAGUUCAUACUGUGACGGUACUUAACCAGAAAGGGACGGCUAACUACGUGCCAGCAGCCGCGGUAAUACGUAGGUCCCGAGCGUUGUCCGGAUUUAUUGGGCGUAAAGCGAGCGCAGGCGGUUAGAAAAGUCUGAAGUGAAAGGCAGUGGCUCAACCAUUGUAGGCUUUGGAAACUGUUUAACUGGAGUGCAGAAGGGGAGAGUGGAAUUCCAUGUGUAGCGGUGAAAUGCGUAGAUAUAUGGAGGAACACCGGUGGCGAAAGCGGCUCUCUGGUCUGUAACUGACGCUGAGGCUCGAAAGCGUGGGGAGCGAACAGG